GACGAACCGAGCGAACGUUGUUCGGAAUCACUGGGCUUAAAGGGCGCGUAGGCGGGUGCUCAAGUCCGGGGUGAAAUCCUCCAGCUCAACUGGAGAACUGCCUCGGAUACUGGGUGCCUCGAGGGUGGUAGGGGUAUGCGGAACUAUCGGUGGAGCGGUGAAAUGCGUUGAUAUCGAUAGGAACUCCGGUGGCGAAGGCGGCAUACUGGACCACUUCUGACGCUGAGGCGCGAAAGCUAGGGUAGCAAACGGG
rnacentral:rRNA from 1 species